rnacentral:rRNA from 1 species
GACCCGUAAUCCGGGUUGCGGACAGUGUCUGGUGGGUAGUUUGACUGGGGCGGUCUCCUCCUAAAGAGUAACGGAGGAGCACGAAGGUUGGCUAAUCCUGGUCGGACAUCAGGAGGUUAGUGCAAUGGCAUAAGCCAGCUUGACUGCGAGCGUGACGGCGCGAGCAGGUGCGAAAGCAGGUCAUAGUGAUCCGGUGGUUCUGAAUGGAAGGGCCAUCGCUCAACGGAUAAAAGGUACUCCGGGGAUAACAGGCUGAUACCGCCCAAGAGUUCAUAUCGACGGCGGUGUUUGGCACCUCGAUGUCGGCUCAUCACAUCCUGGGGCUGAAGUAGGUCCCAAGGGUAUGGCUGUUCGCCAUUUAAAGUGGUACGCGAGCUGGGUUUAGAACGUCGUGAGACAGUUCGGUCCCUAUCUGCCGUGGGCGCUGGAGAACUGAGGGGGGCUGCUCCUAGUACGAGAGGACCGGAGUGGACGCAUCACUGGUGUUCGGGUUGUCAUGCCAAUGGCACUGCCCGGUAGCUAAAUGCGGAAGAGAUAAGUGCUGAAAGCAUCUAAGCACGAAACUUGCCCCGAGAUGAGUUCUCCCUGACCCUUUAAGGGUCCUGAAGGAACGUUGAAGACGACGACGUUGAUAGGCCGGGUGUGUAAGCGCAGCGAUGCGUUGAGCUAACCGGUACUAAUGAACCGUGAGGCUUAACCUUACAACGCCGAAG